UUCCUACGGGGCGCAGCAGUGGGGGAUAUUGCACAAUGGGGGGAACCCUGAUGCAGCGACGCCGCGUGGGUGAAGAAGCGCCUCGGCACGUAAAGCCCUGUCAGCAGGGAAGAAAAUGACGGUACCUGAAGAAGAAGCCCCGGCUAACUACGUGCCAGCAGCCGCGGUAAUACGUAGGGGGCAAGCGUUAUCCGGAUUUACUGGGUGUAAAGGGAGCGUAGACGGCGAUGCAAGUCUGAAGUGAAAGGCGGGGGCCCAACCCCCGGACUGCUUUGGAAACUGUAUGGCUGGAGUGCAGGAGAGGG
rnacentral:rRNA from 1 species